UCAUAGGUCCUUCCCGGCCUCACAGCCGACA
rnacentral:sRNA from 1 species